ACAAGUAUUGAAGGUGAUGCCUGCCCGGUGACUCACGUUCAACGGCCGCGGUAUCCUAACCGUGCAAAGGUAGCGCAAUCAAUUGUCCCAUAAAUCGAGACUAGUAUGAAUGGCUAAACGAGGUCUUAACUGUCUCUUACAGGCAAUCGGUGAAAUUGAUCUCCCUGUACAAAAGCAGGGAUAAACCCAUAAGACGAGAAGACCCUGUGGAACUUUAAAACCAGAGACCACCUCAAAACACAUACCACACCCAUCGGGUUCACUGACACACGAGCUACUGGUCUACGUUUUUCGGUUGGGGCGACCUUGGAGCAAAACAGAACCUCCAAAAAUUAGACCAUACCUCUAAACUGAGAGCAACCCCUCAACGUGCUAAUAGCACCCAGACCCAAUAUAAUUGAUCAAUGGACCAAGCUACCCCAGGGAUAACAGCGCAAUCUCCCCCGAGAGUCCGUAUCGACGGGGAGGUUUACGACCUCGAUGUUGGAUC
rnacentral:rRNA from 1 species